UCCAAGUUUGAGAUUUUUUCUUUGAUUUAUUUUUUUAUUUUUUUAUUUUUUAUUUUUUAUUUUUUUUCGUUUCUCGUUUUUUUUUUUUUUUUGAAAAAAUAUUCCGAUUGCCAUGAUGAAAUCCAAAUGCUAAAUGACCUAAAAAUGAAUGCAUGCAUGAGGUGUAAAGCGUAUGCUUCCAGGAAAAAUGAAGGGUAAAUUUUGGGGUAUUACACUAUGUACGUGAAUCACCACAUUUAUUUCAAUGCAACUUCCCUAUUUUUCAAUUGUUCUCGUUGAACAUUUUAUCUUAAUUUCUUUUACUUUUGAGUUAU
rnacentral:lncRNA from 1 species